GUAGUCCAAAGAAAAAUCUGUCUACAAAUACUAGUAUGUAUGUAUGUCUCUGUGUGGGUAUGGAGUGUACAUAUUAGUCAUGUGCUUGUGGCAGCCGGAGGUGUCAGAUCCUCCUGGAACUGGAGUUACAGGAAGCUGUGGGAUGCCUGACAAGGGUGUGGGGAAUUGAACUUAGGUCUUCUGGAAGAUCAGUACAUACUAUUAACUAAUGAACUGUUUUUUUUUCAGUCCCCUCUUCUACCCUUCCUUUAUGUGUCUGUCCUGAACUAAAUGAGAAUUUCAGAUAAAUGACAAAUAUGUUUUGUUGAUCCCAGUAUGCAUUAUGGUUUGAAUGUGAAAUGUCCUUCACAGGCUCAUGUGUUCUAACACUUUGUUCCCAGUUGGUGGCGCUGUUCUAAGAAGUUGCUGUACUCCUUCCUAGGACUGUGGCCUAGCUAACAGAAGUCAGUGCAGUUCCACCAAGCUCUGCUUCCCCUGGAUAUGAAGAUCUGAGGAGCUUCUGCCGCAUUGGACUGGCCCACUCCCACAUGCUGCUCCCCUGCCAACGACUCAGACUCCAACUCAAGAGCCAGAGCCAUCUAGGAACCAAAAUGAAAUCUGGCAUCACGUCACGUGUGAGGAGAGUUUUUAUACUGACCUGUUCAGUGCGCAAAACACAAUCUCUCCUGGUGCCUGAGCCCACUUUGAAGACUACAGGAGACUGAGGCGAUCCAAAGACCCACCAAGACCUCCAUCUGCACUGCGGGUGGCUGAGUUGAAGCCAUGGGAACCGGAGGUGAGGGCGCAAACCCCCAUUGUCUCUUCACCCACGCCCCGAAUGGAACAGAUUAUCGGCACCAGACUCUGCUCCAAAGUACCAAGACUGGAGCUGCACAUCCUCUCUGCUCUAAGUUAUCCUCCAGACUGUGGGCGGGGAGUUCAUCUCUGCCUUCUGAGUUGUGGAGAGCUUUGCUGCCCGCCUGAUUCCCUCCCAACGCCCCACACAGAACUGGCUCCUGUCCUCUCCAUGAAAGCGGUUAUCCUGGCUUUUUAUCCUGUCAGCUUAAAAGGGCUGAGAGCAAGAACUGUUUCCUGCUUCUCAGAUUCCUUAGAACUGGGGUGUCAUCCACCUCGCCCCCACUCUCAAUAAACUGUCGUCCAUGAA